UGGUCAAGUUAUUAAGGGUGCAGGGCGGAUGCCUUGGCACUAGGAGCCGAUGAAGGACGUGAUAAGCUGCGAUAAGCUUCGGGGAGUUGCACGUAAACUUUGAUCCGAAGAUUUCCGAAUGAGGAAACUCACUUAGAGUAAUGUCUAAGUAUCAUUAAGUGAAUACAUAGCUUAAUGAGGGGAA
rnacentral:rRNA from 1 species